CGGAUUGUAGGCUGCAACUCGCCUACAUGAAGUCGGAAUUGCUAGUAAUCGCGGAUCAGCAUGCCGCGGUGAAUACGUUCCCGGGCCUUGUACACACCGCCCGUCACACCAUGGGAGUCGGUAACACCCGAAGCCUGUAGUCUAACCGCAAGGAGGACGCAGUCGAAGGUGGGAUUGAUGACUGGGGUGAAGUCGUAACAAGGUAAC
rnacentral:rRNA from 1 species